rnacentral:lncRNA from 1 species
AUAGCAACAGCAGCGUAGCUGAACAUCUUACGGAUGGCCCAGGGCUCCAAAGGCUCGUUUCCUAAGUGAGAGAGAGCCUGGCUGAAGCUGUAUUACCAUUCAUUCUCCAGCCUCCGAAGUCUCAAAGCAUCACUUCCACCAUACUCUAACUGUCAAGACAAACACAAAGGCCCAGAAACUGCCAGACUGUCUUCUGAAGUGGCUAUAAUAUUUACACUCCCAUCAGCAGUGUAGAAGGGGUCUCACUAUGUUGUCUGGAGUGCUGUGGUGGAGUGGAGUGGCUAUUCACAGAGCCUGUUCUGCUGGGACACAGAAUCACUUGCUCCAUCUCAUACAUUGAUGAUGAUUAAUUUGUAUGUGUACCUUCCAAAAAAGAUGGUUGUGUUUGAAUGGAGGCCUUCUGGACAGGAAAAUUGCAAAGUACAAUUAACAUUUGAGUCUGUCUGAGUCAUGAAGAAAUGGAGAUUACUGAAAAUAAUUCAUUUUGGUAUCUUCUUACAUCCUGAGAGACUAAUCUUUCCAAGUUCAUCUGAGGCUCCUCUUCUCCAUGACAACCUCAUCCAGGGAUUUCUUCCUGUCCUGGUGUUUUAUGACAUGUGGAAGGGGACUGUAGCAGGUGAUCUCCAAAGUCUCUGGAGACUUACUAAUGUGAAUCACAUCCUUCCUGAGAUAAUGAGCACACAAUUGCCUGGAUACCUGAAGGAAUGGAGACAGCGGCAGAAAACACUGCAGAGAGGUGGAAACAUCCGUUAAUAUUUUAAAAUCCCAUUACUGCUACCAACAAUAAUAAUGGAUGCAUAGAAAUAGAUCUGGAUUAGCUGAGCUUGAAACAGUCCAUCUCACACACACACAAAAGAAUUUCAGAUACAGUGAACCCACAUGUUGAAGCUUUCUAGUAUAAUAAAAAUUUCAACUGUUCUGUUGAAUCAUCUGCCUGAUUGGAGGCUACAGAAAAGAUGUCAUCUUAGGAGUGCUUGCUCUGAGUGAGGCUCAUCUUCAAAUCUGAAUGACCACAAGGAGAUUUGAUUAUACAUGUGAACACCUCAGAAGGCACAGCCCACCCAGAAGGCAGACAGGUCAGGCUGCUUUUUCUUCAUUGCUUGGAUUCAAUCCUCCGGGCGGCUCAGGCUCAAACAUAACUUAAGCAUGAUUAAACUUUAGAAGAAGCUGCCAGGAAGACUGUGAAAUCUUCAUGCCCAAGGAUCCCUAAAAUUAGGAGCAACAACCACUUGGCUCAGACGGUUUAUGGAGGCAAAGGUUUGGAUGGGAUUAGAGAUUUCUAAAUGUGAGUUCGUGUCCUCUGCCAGACCACCUUACUUCCACCAUUCCUCAGCAAAUCAAGAAAAACAGGAGAAAAGACAUGCCUUUCCAUAAGUUAAAUCUAUUCUGUUUUAAUUCUAUAUUAUAUCUGCUGUACAACUUCUUUUGUUUGUAACACCAUAUUGUUGCUAGUAACUGGAAAUUAAUUUUCACAUGCCUCAGCUUAGAAAAAUAAAAAGCAGCCCUGCAUCAA